GAGUAGGGAGAAAAUAACAUAUAAAGAAAUUUGUAACAAGGGAAAAAAACAUAAAUAAAUAAAACAAAAACUAAAUAUAAAACAAGUGAAGAUAUAACUGCGUCCCUUAAAUUAAAAAAAUAAAUAAAUAAAAAUUAUAUAACAAUGCUUUAGAAUAUUUCGUAUUGCUUAAUUUGAUUAGAGAGAGAGUGUAGUUUAAGAAGCCUUUUUAAUGUUUUUUUUUUUAUAUUCUAUUAAUAUCAAACACAAUAAUACUGUAAAUAAAAUAAUAAUUGUAAAGUUUAAAGGAACAGUCUCGAAGCACCAGCUGAUUCGGACCUAGACCAAGACCGAGACUCGUGAGGCCUGCACGCGUACAAAGAGACAACAUGGCACCCACUACUGCUUCAAUGCUCUGCUGGGUGUGCGAUGAUUACUGGUUUCUGGGCACUGAGAUCCUCCACCUUUGCUCCAGACUUGGCACGCAGGUAGUAAUGGUGAAAUACUUUACCAUCCCAGAAAGCCCAAGGCACCAUCUGAGGAGACACAAAGAGAAAGAGGGAAGUCACAGGCAGCAAGGAGAAAGAAGAAGUUGACCAGGCCCUUCAUAAAGAUGGCAGCCACGUGGACAGCCCGUGCGUCAAUCCUGGGCAGAGCAAUGGCCCGGAUCUGAUUGAGGUCCUCGCGCAUUGGUGAUAGAAAAGCUGCCAUUAUUGCAUUCAUCUCCCAGUCCUUCAGUAUCGGCUUUGGCUGGCUGCACUGUUGGGGGGAGAGAGAGAGGGUGGGUAGAAGAGAAUGGCGACAGGGACAACAAGGUGUGGCGGGAGCGUUCUGAAUCGCGUCUCGCACAGCUGGGGGUGAACACAAUCCAUGAAGGUUCUCCACUUGAGGUCUGAGUCUCCAUUCCAGAGCUCCUCCAGCGACGGACUGCCACCUGAGGGGAACGGAACAUGGGUGAACUGCUACUAUCUGGACAAAAGGAGGAGGAACAGCAAAGAAGAUAAGGGAUAAUGUGAAGAGGAGAAGCAACAAGAGGAGGGCUGUGAGAAGAGGAAUAAGAGCAAGAUGAGGAGGAAGAGGGGAACCAAAGAAGAGAAGGAAUGUGAGAAUGUGAGAAGGGGAGGUACAGCAGAGAUGAGAGGGUGUGAGGAAGAGAAAGAGGAGAAGCGAAGAAGAGAAGGGCUGUGAGAAGAGGAAGAACAGCAAAGAUGAUGAGGAGGAAUGUGAAGAGAAGUAAAGAAGAGGAGGGCUGUAAGAAGAGGAAGAGCAGGAAAGAAGAUAAGGAGGAAUGUGAAGAGAAGAGGAGGAAUAGUAAAGAAAAUGAGGGAAUGUAAGUCUCUCUCUCUCUCUCUCUCUCUCUCUCUCUCUCUCUCUCUCUCUCUCUCUCUCUCUCUCUCUCACCCACCCCACAGAUCCACAGUAUGCCCUCCACAGUAUGUUGACGAACCCACAGUCACUCUCCACAGCCCCUCCCUUCAAAAUAAACACACACACACACACAUGCACACACCUCAAAAUAAGCUUUCUCUCUCUCUCUCUCCUUUUCUUCUUUUCUUUUUUCUUCUUUCUCUCUCAGCCCAUAGACCCACAGUAUGAUGAACCCACAGCCCCUCCCUUCAAAAUAAACACACACACAUCUCUAUCUCUCUCUCUCUCUCUCUCUCUCUCUCUCUCUCUCUCUCUCUCUCUCUCUCUCUCUCUCUCUCUCUCUCUCUCUCUCUCUCUCUCUCUCUCUCUCUCUCUCUCUCACACACACACAGACUCAGACUCACCUUCCAGCUCAACAGGAUCCACCAAAUCUGGCUCCUUCAGCAGGCUUCCACUGUACAUGCACCACUCAGGGACUUGACUCAGCCCAUCUGUAGAACAAGGCAAGUCUUAGGCAGGAUUUGGAAUGCUGUGAGAAUUUCUUUGUGCUUCUGUCAAGAUCUGAAGGUCAGGAGUAAGCGUGUUGGGGGUUCAGGGUGUCGCAGAGGUCAGGGGAGGUUAUGGGAGGUCACAGGUCAGGGAAUGUGUUGGUUUGAGGGUCCUCUGGUUGGCAUGUGUAAAAGUUUGUCUGUUUUUUAAGUCUAAGAUUGUUUUGAUGGUGCUUUGAAUGUAAUCUGUUUCACCUUAGUGUGUAUUUAACUAACAUCCUGAAAUCUUAAGCUGUUUUAUCAUAAUCCUGAAUCUAAUCUGUACUUUAAUUGUAUUUUAUCUCAUACUGAAGUCUGCUCUGUAAUUUGAUAUCCUGGAGGACUAAUAAUCUAAUCUUUAUUUCAACUGUAACUGUUAUCUAACAUCCUGAAGUCUCUGUAUUCUGAAAUCCUGACUAAAUAUCUAAUGUAAUCUAUAUUUCAAUUAUUUUUAUCUAAUAUCCUGAAAUUUAGUGGUUUUUACUUAAUAUCAAAUCUAUAUAAUCUAAUCUAUAUUUCGACUGUAUUUUUAUGUAUCCUGAAACCUAUAUGUUCUGAAACCAUGAAAUAACAAGCAUUUUUUACUUAAUAUCUAAUGUAUAAUGUGAAUACUGGCUUACUAUUUGGACUUUUGGCUGCAAUAAUAUCUAACCUAUAAUGAGUAGGUAUAUACUGACUCACCUAUUUAAAUUUUGACUGCACUAAUAUAUCUAUCUAUAAUGAGUGGCUAUAUACUGGCUCACCUAUUUAAAUUUUCACUACAAACCUGAUCUGUAUUGCUCCUGAGUCAAUAAACUAUAGGUAUAAAGUUGAGUUAUCUUUAUGGAACCUAUCCAUUUUAAAACUAGUAAACCUAUUAGUAAAUUCUGACUUUGAAAUAGAUGUGUAUGUUGAGAGUCGACAACUUCCGAACUUGAAAAAAAUUUUAUAGCUCGAUUUUUUUUAGUUUUCUGAAGAUAAACUUUAAAUUAUAUACCUGGCUUUAUAUAGUAACUUAAAUGAUAAUUAUAACACCUAAUCUGUUAAUUUUAUCCCUCACAUAACUGAAUACCGAUUAUAUCACCAACACCUUCCAAUUAAUCAACUUAUUCUUCCCUAAACUCAACAUAACAUAACCUGACUUAACAUUACAACACUAUCUAAUAUGAAAGCUAAACUGAAAGCCUUAUAGAUAACUUGAACUUAAAAAUUACACUAAAAACACUACAUUUAUCAUCAUCAUCAUCAUCAUCACAAUCCACAACACUAUUACAAAUUGUUACUCAUGAUGCAAACUUGGGCCAACAUUACACUAGCAAUAUCUCCAUCUCUCAUUACCUCAAGUCACUUCAAACUAGGCCCUUCCUCCACAAAAAUAAACAUACAGGAGGUCGUUUCAAAAUAUCUCGGUACUGCACUCGGUUCCGAAACUCGUACGGUAGAAAAAUAGUUCAAAAAAUGUGUUGGCACUUUAAAAAAACAACCAUUACAAUCCUCAUUACAGCUUCUAAUAUGAGAAAAAAUGUCUAAAAAUAUAUACCAUUACUUACUCUGCAGAAUCUAAACUCACGAUACAUUGGGAGUCAAAAAUUCAAACUAGUCCUUUAAUAAACUAACUAAACCCCCAGAAAAACACAGGGAUUGGAAACAUCAGCUAAACUACAUCAUCCUUUCUACAGUUAGGAGAAGCCAUGGGAACUUUAUGCCAACCCACAGCUGUCCAGAAGCUUGGUGCACACAGCUGGCUAUCAUGACUCCCUCUAAAGCUUGAUGUUUGAAGGCCACAAGAGCAGAGGAAGAGAGAUAUAGGGAGACAGAGGGAGUGACGGACUAAGUGUAGGUUUGGGAUGAUGUGAGAGAGAGGGGGAGAGAGAUGAGGUUUUGAAGGAAGAGAUGGGAAUUGAGAAAGACUGAAAGAGAUGGAGAGAGAUGAGGUACUGAAGAGAGAAGGGAAUUGAGAGGCUGAGAGAAAGGAGAGAAAUGGUGGUAAAAAUAAAAGGGAAUAGAGAAAGGCUGAAAAAGAGAGAGAGCGAGAGAGAGA